GCCGGGUGCGGUGGCGCGCGCCUGUAAUCCAAGCUACCGGGAGGCUGAGGCUGGAGGAGCGUUUGAGCUCAGGAGCUCUGAGCUGCAGCGGACUGUGUCGAUCGGGUGUCCGCACUAAGCUCGGUAUCGAUAUGGUGCUCCUGGGGGAGCCCGGGACCACCAGGUCGUCUAAGGAGGGGUGCACCGGCCCAGGUCGGACACGGAGCAGGUCAAAGCCCCCGUGCCGCUCAGUAGUGGGAUCGCGCCUGUGAAUAGACGCUGUAGUGCAGCCUGAGUAAAACAGCGGGACCCAGUCUUUU
ensembl:misc_RNA Metazoa_SRP Metazoan signal recognition particle RNA